AGAAGAAGGAACGGACCAGCGUGGUGUUCCUCAGGCGGCGAGUUGAACCUGUAACGAUCAUGUAGAAGUCUGCGCGGAGCUGUCUGAAGGGAAAAUGUCCUUAUUAAAGCAACGAAAGUUAAAAUCUGAGGCUGCACACGAUGCAGGAUGUCAGUGGAGGCGGUAACCUGUCCGGACUCUUCAUGCAGGAGGAGCUCCCAUCCUGAAACACGCAGAUCUCUGUGUGGAUGAAGUGACCAGCAGAUUCACGGUCACACACUCGUCUUAUCAUACUGAAAGGUAUAAAUGAAACACCUCAGCGCGUGUAAAGAUUUGCAUGAAGGAGUGCCGUACGACCGGACCUCCAGGCUGUGGAGAACAUCCUGAAGAUGGAUGAACAUUUCCAGGGCAGGACUGUGGGACAACGGUCAAAACGCACUCAAAUCUGUCUGGUGAAGUCAGUGUUUUAUUAGGCCAGGAAGUAACACUCUUGACCCGUGAUGGUUUUGUCAACGUCAAUGCAUCUCACUCUUGAAUAAUAAAUUUUUAUUUUUUUGUCCA